rnacentral:rRNA from 1 species
AUGAUGCCUUCACGAAGGGACACGGCGCCAGGAGACGUCGUCAUCAUCGUUGCCGACGAGGUCGACAAUAGGCUUUCGCCCGAAGCAUCCCAGCCCGGCCGACUCCGCAAACGCCGGCCCCCGAGUCCGGCAGCGCUAGACCUUCCCCUCUCCUGCCAGUCCACGGCGAGCCUCCCCGCUUGGUCCAGCAAGAGUCAUCCGCAAACACAGCCGCUCACCUCGAGCACCUGCAUAGACAGAGUUGGUUCUGUCUCGGCUGCCACCUGCACCCAGCCCCUUACCGCCGGCCACAACACCACACCACCACACACCUACCCCGCCGACAGCAGCCACCACCGACCCCCCAGCCGCAACCAUGGAGUGCACCAGCCGUGGGAGCCACCGCCCCAGAGGGGUCCAGAUCUGGGCGAAGAGAGGCACCCAGACCAGGCAUGGCAGUCACCAGGGUCACUGCCACGGCCUGCUCCACCACGCUGUGCUGACCACCACACCCGCCUACGCCACCAGCCCCCAGUCGCGGCCGCGGGGACCGCCGGCCAAGGGAAACGGGCCGCCGUCCGAAGGGAGCUGGAUCUGGAGCUCCCCUGGGCAGAGCGGCGUCGGAUCCUUGGAGAUCCAGCUGCCCACGCCUCCGCGCCGCUCGCGCCGGCGCAUUGCGCGACCAUUGCCGGUGCGCGCCCCCGACCACCCGCGCCCGCCCGCGAGUCCCCGUCGCCGGCCAGCGUCCCGCGCCGCCACGCCUGGAGAAGAGGAGGGAGAGCCGUCCCCGCCGCCGCCGGCGCCGAGGGCUUUGCCCAGGGACGCCCUCCGGCGGCGGCGGGAGGAGGAGGGGGAGGCGAGGGUGGCUGUCGGCGUCGGCUGGGGUUUCUCCCGAGCCGCCCGCGAGAGCGACAUGGGAGUCCAAGUCUCUUUGCUUGUCCCGCGUUAUCCACCUCCUUCCAGAACGUGAAGAGCUUGACCACGGCGUCUGCUCGGCAGUCCAUCCUGAUGCAUCCUAGGAAGGUGUGUGUUGUGCAAUCGCAGUUCUGCAUAGCCGCACCGCCGACGUCGCUGCAGAUCGAGGAGCACGUAUACACCACAUUCAUUCGCCACGUGAGGCGUCUAUCCAUCGAUCCCGGCAGUCCGGCGGCCCCCAAGCGUGCAAGUCUCGUCGGAUUAGUUGUCUGUAUAGGCCCUAGAAUUACGGGGAAACUUGAACAGAUCCUUGAUGGAAAAACCGCUGGUUGCACACACCUGUCGUUAGUCGUUACGGAGCGAUUUUCAUCGCUGUACAUGCCAAGGGAUAUUGAGACCCAUGUGGCAAGGACGCGGCUUGCCUGCGGCCUUGGCGUGCGACCAUCGAUCCGCAUAUGCAGAAAAGCGCGCCAAAAUAUACUCCUAAAGGCGAGAGAGACCUACAACCUCGGCAGAACAAUCAAUGGCGGCUUGACCAGGGAAGCACAGGUAAAUUCUCCUCUUAAAUUGGGCAGCGAAGGAAUCCCGUCCCUGAUGUCUUCUUCGAGUCUCACGUCCCUGGUGGCUUCUCCAAGAAGUGGUCCGGGGAACCAGGAUGCUCCAGAUGAUUCUCAGUCACCAAAAGAUUCGCAACAAACCACGGCAGAUCACAGUGAUGAAAGGGUACCAAAGCUUGGCAUGACAUUUUUGUCUGAAGAGGAAGCUUAUUUAUUUUAUAACAAGUAUGCUGAAACUAUCGGUUUCAGCAUCAGAAGAAGUAGUGGCCAUAAAGUGAAGAACUCUUCUGUAUUGCAGCAACGCACAUUUACAUGCUCUCGUCAAGAUAAUCACUACAACUCACAGGCCACCAGCAAGAAGAUAAAAGAGAGGACACAUUCAGUUACAGCAUCACAUAACCACACUCUUGCUCAUGGAAUCAUGGCCCAGUACUUGAGAUCCCAGAGAGAAGUAACAGAAGCACAUAUAGCAAAUGCUGAGGUUGCAAAGUCAGCAGGCAUUUCAAAUAAAGCAACAUUCGAUUUGAUGGCCAAGGAAGCAUGUGGAAGUGAAAACCUUGGCUUUAUACGUGAUGAUUUGAAAAUUUGUUUGUACUCAAAGAGAACAAUAAAAGCAAAGAAUGGUGACACAGGGGGAGUAUUAGAGUACAUGGAGAAGAAGGUCUCAGAAGAUGUCAACUUCUUCUAUUCAAUUCAAGUUGAUGAAGAUGAGUUGAUAACUAAUAUUUUUUGGACUGACUCGAAAAUGGUAUCAGACUACGCAUUAUUCGGCGAUGUUAUAUGCUUUGACACCACAUACAGGAAACUAGAUGAUGGACGCCCAUUUGGUUUGAUUGUUGGGGUGAAUAAUCAUCAAAAAACUGUUGUCUUUGGCGCCGCACUUUUCUAUGAUGAAACUGCUGCAAGUUUUGCUUGGCUUUUCAGAACUUUCCUAAAAGUUAUGUCUGGGAAACAUCCACGUACAAUUCUCACCGAUGAAAAUGCAGCAAUGGCAAAGGCAAUCCGUAAAGUGUUCCCUCAUUCUCACCAUAGAAUUUGUGUGUGGCAUAUGAAUCAAAAUGCUUGCAAGCAUCUCGCUGGAGUUGUUGAUGAAUAUAAGAAAUUCAAUGUUGAUUUUCAACAUUGUAUAUAUGAUAUAGAAGAGGAAGAUGAAUUUGUAAGUGCAUGGAAUAAAAUGAUUGACAAGUAUGAACUAGGUGACAAUGCAUGGUUGCAAAGGCUAUUUGAGAAGAAAGAACAGUGGGCACUAGUAUAUGAUAAAAGAUGUGAAGAGGUGAAGUACGACUUUAAAGCAACACAAACUACUCCAAAGUUGAAGGCUGAAUCAAGCUAUAUGCUAACACAAGCUGCAGCUACAUAUGCUCCAGCAAUAUUCAAGAUAUUUCAAGAUCAAGUGCUUCGGACUCUGAACUACGACACAUUGCUUUGUGAUGAAAGUGACACAGAGUUAAAGAUUUAUGUAGUAAAAUUUCAUGGCACACAACGGAGCAUGUUGUUAGAUUCAUUCCAAAAGAAGAAAAGAUGGACAAUUGAUGCCAAAGUUCUAGAUAUAACAAGCAAAUGCAACCCGCAUGAGAACCUAAAAGCAAGAAUGUCCAAUCGCUACAAGGAACUGUGCAGAAUGUUCUUGAAAAUAGCUGCUCGUGCCGCUGAGUCAGAAGACUCAUACAAUAAGGCUGCUAAAUUUGCAGAGCAAUUAGCACAAGAUGUGGAGAAAUGCUUGAAGAUUAGAGCUGAUCCAGAUUUGGGAGACUCGUGUACUAAAGAAGUGGCAGCAGGAGUGAACAUCCCCUGUAGCAGAAUUUCAAAACACAAUGAUGGGCUUGCAAAGCCAAAAGGUAUGAAGGUCAAGGAGAAGACUAUCAAAGGAUCAAAAAGGCCCGUUGGUGGAUUUGAGAAAGCAACUUCAAAGAAGAAAAGGAACACAGAUGAUAUUGUACAACUAGAGCCUCAUGGCACCUCAAAGGCCCCUUUGGAGAAACCAACUUCAAAGAAUAAAAAGAACAAAAAAGAUAUUAUACAACUACAACCUCAUGGACUCUCAAUGGGUCCUUCGGAAUUUUUCGGUAGCCAAAUGGGUGCAUAUCAAUUACACUACAACACUAUCCUAAAUGCUUCAAUGCAACCAUCAAUUGAUAAUACCAUCCCGAUGCCACCGCAUACCCAACAACUGUUGGCGGCAUUCCAACCAUACAACACAACAGUGGGUCAUCCGACAGACCACAUGUCCACCUAUUUACAACAGCAGAACUCUGCUCAGCCAACACCUAUCCAAAAUGCUACAAUGCAGCCAUCAACUGGUCCGAGCUUCCCCAUGCAACCACAAACCCAAGCACCACACAACACUCCAGUGGGUCAUCCGACAAACCACAUGUCCACCUAUAUACAACAGCAUAACUCUGCUCAACCAACACCUAUCCUAAAUGCUAGAAUGCAACCAUCAACUGGUCCGAGCUUUCCGAUGCAACCACAAACCCAAGCACCACACAAUACUCUAGUGAGUCAUCCGACAAACCACAAGUACACCUUUUUACAACAGAAGAACUCUGCUCUAAAUCCCUGCCUGAUAGAAGCCAUUGGAGCCUCUAACUAUAGUUCGAUGACAGGAGGAAAUCAAGGCUUCCUUCUUCAACCGAAAGCGACAUCUAUUGUAAAUGCUACAAUGCAGCCAUCAGUUGGUCACACCAUCCUGAUGCCACCACAGACCCAAGACCCACACUAUACUCCAGUGGCUCCGCAUCUCAGACCAGCGAGGACGGCGCCGCGGAGGAUCCCGUCCCCACCGAACUGCUGUGCGACUAGGUCGAGCAGGCGGACCACGACGGAGGCCAGCCGAGCCAGGGAUGCUGAUUUAGUAGGCGGACCACGGUGGCGGCCAGCCGAGCCGGGGAUGCUGAUUCAGCAGGCGCACGCGGGCGGCGGCCACCCGGGAACCGGGAUGGGAGAAAAUCCGCAGCGGGAGGGGGCUCACGCACAGCCGUGCGAUGGCUGCGUCGCACUGAUGGUCGCACGCCUAGGCCGCAGGCAAGCCGCGUCCAUGUGGCAAGGACAUGAGAGGCUCUCGCGCUCGCGGCGGCGCCGCCCGAUCUACCGCCUCCGGCCUCCCAUGCUUCAGCUGAGACUGGAUCCGGGAUCCCCUCCACCUCCUCUCUCUCUCCUGCGAAGCUUUGCUCCAUCUGACGCCAUGCCUCCACGACCGUGCUCCAAGCCAGCGUCCGCGGCAUCGGCCAUGGAGGGAGCUCAGUCCGCCGAGCGCUCCCCAAGGCCCUCGCCGGCGGCGGCCUCCCCACCGCCGCCCUGCGUCCCGGCUGGCACGUUGCUGCCCGCAGGCUUCAGGCUGAGCGUCGUCCCGCCGUCACCGAGCAAGCUGCCAGCGCCUGCAUCCACGAUGCCGGCUGCUCCGUCAGGGUCAGCCACCUCCGCCGCAGUGCUGGCCGCGGUUGCCCUGGCCUCCCGCAAGGCUGCCCCGGCCGCUGGUGGCCAUUUGUCCCGCGUUGGGCUGCCUCCGAGGCUGGUUGUGGCUGCAUUUCCGACGGUGCAUAGCUCGGGGCUUCCCCAGGCCGGGUCCUCACCGCCUCCGCCGCUUGGGUGUCUCUCGUCCCCUGCCUCUGCUGACGCUGCUUCUGUCAGCGAUGCACCAUCAACCUCGACUGCUACUGUGGGCGCGCCAUCCCCGACUCCUGCCGGUGCUGCUACGUCCUACUUGACUCUUGUGGAAGCCUCGCCGACACCCCCGGCUGGUGCUGCUGAAGCGCCGCCCACAACCCCUGCUGCUGAAGCGCCACCCACAGCCACAACUCCUGCUGCUGAAGCGCUGUCCACGGCUCCUGUGGAAACGGCGCUCUCCUUUACUGACGGUGAAGAAGACGACGACGAUGAUAAUGAGCUAGCCCCACAGACGCCACCGCCGGCUACCAAAUCCUCGAUUUCGGCUGCUCGGCAGGACGUGGCGUGUGAUGCGGAUACAUGCGGAGGUUGGCAGAAGGUGCUCCCGCGGCGCCAUGUGCAACUCCAGGCGUCACAAGCCCCUGCUUUGGCUCCCCGUCCCGUCCCCGCUUGGCUUCAUGGUAGAUGUUGCAGAUGUCUCUUUCCUGGACACUGUGCAGCGGAUUGUCGAGAUCCUUUUAGAUGUUAUCGGUGCCUUGAGAACGGUCAUCGAUCGCGUGAGUGCCGCAAUGCCUGGCAUCCCCUUAGCUCCUUGGGAAGAGCUACUGUGUCGCCACUGCCCCGCCUCCCCGUCAAGCACCAACAAGCUCCAUCUCCAUACAAGGUCCAGAAAGAAGCCCCACCCCUCCCGAAGACAUUUUGUUGUGAUUCUUGGGCAUCGAUCGUUUCUGCUCCUGCUGGCUCAAUGGCCCCGACGGAUAUCUCGAUGCGGCCCACUUUGGAGAGGCAGGCCGAGCUGCUGCGCUCUGAGCUCCUUGGUAUGGCUUCCUUUCAACUUGAGAAAACGGUCCAGCCUCUGCGUGAUGUCGUUGAUUCUAUGAAAGGUUGGAUGUUGCGGAUGAAGAGCUUCAUGGAGCGAGCUGAGGCUGCACUGGGCGGGCUCUCCCUGGCGCCGCCUGUGUUGCGCCCUUUGGUUGUGCCCGAUGGCAACUUCGACGCUGAGAAGGGAGACGAGCUCCAUGAUCAUGCCCGAGCUUCGGAGUUGUGUGGGAGCCCGGUUUUGCCUUUGUGCGUCGAGCAACUGCAGGUAGACCCUCCCGAGAUCUCGAGUGUGGCUUUGCCACCAACAUCACUCCUGGAGUCGAGCCAGAUAGUUGAUGCUGAGGAGAGUAGUGAUUUGGACGGUGCGAUCUCUCGCUCGCCCAAGUCCAUUGGGCGUCAGGCGUUAGUCAUCGAGCGCGGAGUUUCAGAUGCUGUUGCCCUUCCCUCAUAUGCAACCAUCGAGCAGGUGAUGACUGUGAGUGGCAUGGCCAUUGAGCCAAGUGUGUUGGCACCUACUCCAACUCCAAAUUCAAAUGCUCUGUUUGCGAAGGAACUUUGUGACUUGCUCGCUAGCGUGGAGGUUGCUAGACCUGGUUUGGGCAGUCCUUCAAAAAACGCAUCACCCUUCAUCAUCCGCACGCAAGAUCCCCUUCAUCCUCCCCAGGCACGAGCGGGCGCACCCCCGCCGGCGGCGCCGCCGCCUUCCUCGUGGAGUCCGCGGCCAAAUUCCACGCCGGGAGCAGCGGUCUCCAUCUCUCCAACUCCUCCCUCUCCCUCAAGCCUCGACCUCCCCGGCAACCUUCCUCCCCUCCCAAGUCCAGGAGACGCAUGGGCGCGGCGGCGGCGAGGCCCCCUCACCAUGGCUAGGGUUUCGGGCGCCUCCAUACUGGCAUGGCUCCGGCGCCUCUGGCGGCUCCUCUCCGACGCCCACCACGCCCCCACACGCAGCUCCUUCUCUAGGAUGAUGCUCCUCCUCCCGGUGGCCAUGGGUUACGGGAUGCGCCGCCGCCACCAGCAUGGUCCCAACGGCCACCGUGAGUCUCCCCGGUCGACGUCCCCAUCCGUCUAUGCUCCGAGCUCGACGGUUCCAUCUAACAUACCAACAACCAUCUCCAAAUACACGAACUUGAAGAAUUUCUUAGUUUCAUACACACCUUCAGUACAAAGAGGAGAUAAAAGGAGUAUUGGAAAGCUUAAAACCAGCCCCCCGAAACCACUCUGGCUCGAGAAAGAAGAAAAUAUUUCACAUGAUCUGUCCGAUCUACUACAGGUAAUUUGGUCUUCUCUUGUGCACAACCAUCACAACCAAGCCGGGGAGUGCCAGAGGUCACAACUUGAAAUUUUUAACUGCAAUAUUUGUUGGUCAGUGUCCUCCUCUAAAAUUGUUCGUAAGUGCACAUCAGCAUCGUCUAAAUACAUAUGCCUCUGGGGUUUUCUUUUUGGUGGCAAAUUGAUUCUUGCAAUCAUAGCGGAAAGCCUGUACUGCUGCGUAGGAAAUUGCUGGGAGUGGGCGCUCCUAACAGUGUGCUGCGAGUCUCCACUCCCAUCGUUGCUUUCUUCGGCGAAUUUGACAGAAUCUUCGGCGGACAGCGGAUCACACCCAACACCGGUCACCGAGCAUUGGAGAUGCCCCAACAGUGAAAAUCGAGUUGAGGUUAGUGGAGAAGAGGACACCUUAGGGCAACUCAAGGGGCCGAUGCAUUUAGUCCGUCCACGUCCGUUUGGAUACGUGCGAACAAAAAACACGUCCCAAUGCGUCGAUGCAAAUAGAUGGAUGUCUGUUUUUGUUGUUCGCCUGGACCCAUUUUCAGCCCAAAUUUGGGUUGGAUUUGCGUCCGUGGGGACACGGCGUCGGGACGUCCUCCCCUGGCUUGUCGGUCGGUGGCACACAGAUCAUUCCCACCCAACUGUGUUCGCCCUCCCCGGCCUUCUCAUCCUCGCCGCCGCCGCCCGGCUUCCGGCCACUUCGCCACCUGCCCUAGCUGCCGCGGCAGCAUCCAUCGACGCCCCCACCCCGCCUCAUCCAUCGACUCCCCCACCGCCAUUGUUGUGGCCGCUUCUUGCCGCCAAUGGCGUAGCUUGCUGCCCAGGGUCGUCGACGUCCUCGGCUCACCACCGCCACCUCCACAGUCACCACCAAAGGACGCGGCGUUCGACGACCCUGAUACCUAAACGGGCCAAGGACGGGCCCCUUCACCGCCGAGACUCGUCCACGCCCGCUGAUGUCUAG